UUCUAUGGCCAUGCCACUCUGAACAAGCCCAAUCCCGUCUGAUUUCGGAAGCUAAGCAGAGUCGUGCUUGGUUAGUACUUGGAUGGGAGACCACCUAGGAAGACCAAGUGCUGCAGGCA
rnacentral:rRNA from 1 species